UUUUUUUUUUUUUUUUUUUUUGAGACAGGGUUUCUUUGUGUAGCCCUGGCUGUUCUGGAACUCACUUUGUAGACCAGGCUGGCCUCAAACUCAGAAAUCCGCCUGCCUCUGCCUCCCGAGUGCUGGAGGGAAGUCCUUAUCAAUUAUAAGUAACUAGACAUUAGCAUAUCUGAAUCACAUAUCCUCAGAGACCUUACUGGAGUAAUACUGCUCAUACCCUUUGUUUAUGGAGAAGUGAGAUCUCCAUGUAGCACUUAGGAAACAUUUUUUCUGUGGCUUCUUGACUAUUACUCUUUUUUUAAUGCCAUCAUGCUGGUUUUCUUGUAGUUAUUAAAAUUUUGACAAAAACUCUGUGCAUUUCAACCCUUCUAAUUUUUAAGACUUAGUUUUCAUUUUAGAAAAUUAUUUGCAAAUGGUUGCCGUUUUGGUAACUAUGGAGGCAUAAAACUAUUCAUAGCACUACAAGAAAAAUUAUUGUUUCUAUUUUUUGUAUUUUUGUAUUAUUUUUAUGUAUUAUCUAAUUUUCACAAAAGGGUAGAUAAACUUUUAAAAUGACAAAUGUUGAUAAUGACCCCUCACCCCCUGUGCUCUAUCCAGUCUUAUCUCUUUGCACUAUGUUCAAUUAUUGCCUAAGUUUAAAUCAUCAGAAUUUUGUUCUAGGAUUACUCAAAUUUCCACCCUAUUUGUCUUCCUGAUUGCAUCCUUGGAAGCCUAAAGUCUGUCUUCCAUCCUGAUUCCCGAGUCAUGUGUCUGAUAUGCGCAUUAAAAUAUGUCACUUCUCUGUAAACAUCUUCCCAUGGAGUUCCAUUUUUUUUCUCUUUCAAAAUAGAAACUUCUGUCAGUAAUCAAGCCCCACAUUGUUUCUCUGCCCCAUUAGUUAAGUUUCUGGUCUGCUGGUCUUUCCCCCAGCUAUGCCUGUGUCUUUCCCACUGAUACACAAAGGUGUAAGCUAGUCUCGUUAAAACUUUCCUAGAAUUCUCUUCAUUUUUCUGUGAAGCUUCUGUAAUACACACCAGUUUGGCUAAACCGCUUGUCGGUAAGGGUUCCUAAACACACACUUUCCCACAUCCUUUGUCUUCUGCCUUCUGUUCUUGAGUUUUUACCAAAACAUUUCCUACAUGCAUCCAGGCUUUUAAUUUGGGGUCGAGGGGAGGGACUUUUUUAUUAGAUUUUUCUUGCAGCUUUAUUGGGGUAUAAUUUGCAUUCUAUAGGACCCAUGUUGGGGUAUACAAGUCAGUGGUUUCUUUCAAGGACUGCACAUUUAAGUGACCACACCAACAAGCUAACUUGAAUGGUUUUCCCAGGAAUCCCCACGAGUAUUUCCAGUCUGAGACAAGCAAGGGAGGCUAUGUCUGAAUAUUUGUCUUCCAUAGACAGGUCAUGUAUAAACCAUGCAUGCUCUCCUCUAUUGCAUGUGGCGUUUUUCACUUCACUAUCAUGCUUUUGUGGUUCAUCCAAAUCGUAAAAAGUAUCAGUAUUUUGUUUCCUUUGGUUCCUAACAGUAUUUAUUGUAUGGAAUGAAAUGUGUUUCCCUUAUAUAAGAACCUCAGAUUGCUUUACAUUUGGAGAUAUUUUGGGUAAUGUUCCACUAGUAAUGCAUGAAGAACCAUUUUUACUUUAUCUUCCUCAAAGCUUUAUGCCAUUUAUUAUAUCUUCUUGUAGUUUUAAUCUGAAUUUCUUAAUGAGGAUAAUGAUGGUCCCUUCAUGGUGUGCUGAUUAGCAAUGUAUUUUUUCUUCUUCUUCAGUAAAAUGUCCCUUCAUAUAAUUUGUCAAUCUUCUUACUGAAUGUUUUUUGUUAUUGAAUUAUAUGGUUUUUUUUACAUAUACUAAUUUGCAAAAGUUUUCAAAUAAGAAAACAUGUAGAUAUCAUCUCUUUAUGAUCUACCUAUUCAUUUCUGUCUUCCCUUGAAGAAAAAGCUUUUAACUUUUAAUAAAGUUCACCUUAUAAAAAACUUUUUCUCUUUUAUAGCUCAUGCUGGAGAUACUAAAAAGAAUGAGCAAAAUUUAGUUUAAAAUGUGAAGAAUUUUUCUUCAGACAAUUUAGAUAGCAUAAGACAUUUAUUUUCAGUCUUGAGAAAGGAUAAAAAUGUUGAGGAAACAACACACACAUUUUCAGAAGUCAAAGCAUAAUUUGGUCUAAAAAAUCCAUUAAUAUAAAGUGCAAAGUGUUUCUUACAGCAAUUGUUAAAUGUUAAGAAAAUGGUUUUUUACUCUUGAGAUUAAAAAUAAGUUUACAUAGCAUGUUUUGAAUAUUAUACCUAUUAUAAUAUUUGUUGUUUAUGCAAAAAUAUGUUGAAAUCAUGGAAAUUAUUUCUUAAAAUUGUGUCUCUUCAUUUAUUUCAUUAUUUCUUCUCCUACAAAACACAUGAAGUGCUUUUGGUCCUAAAGCAUCCAUAUGCUGAAAAAAAGGAAACAGGUGUUUUUUAAAACAAGUUUUUUUAGUGAAGUGUAAAAGUACGCUUUAGGAUAAAAAAAUUCUCAGAGUCCUUGUGAGACCAUGAGAGUCAGCGUGUGCUCAAGAGCUGUGGUGACAGUGGCUCUGAAUUUGCAGCCUGAAGAGAAGAUGACUAGGCAAGACUCAAACUUUUAGAAGGAGCGAUUGCUGUUUAUUAGAAAGAUAUCCAAGUUUAACGUUCCAACUGUGGUCCAGAUAGUAAGAGCACUUGAUCAUAUUUAAUGGCUUUUUAAUUAUACAAAAGAUGUUGAGUAUCUGUGUGGGCUCACUAAGGUCUUAAUGAUGGGGCCCUGAUCUGGUGACUUAAUAUAUCCCCAUAAGAAAGAGAUACCAGACGUCCCCGUGCUUGCUUUCUGUUCUUGUUUCUGUCUCUGGCUGUUUACAUAUAUGCAUUAGGGAACAAGCACAUAAAGUGGUGUGAGAGGGCAGCAGUAAGUAAGCUGGGAAGAGUGUCCUCACCAGAAUCUGAAUUAGUCAUUAAUGUACUGUGGACAUCUAAUUCAACAGCCACGAGGAAAGCAAGUACCUGUUACUUCACUGCUUGUCAUAGCUAUUUCACUGUAGGAAAGCUAGCUGUUCUGAUUACAAACUUUUUUGAAAACUACAAGAAAAAAAAAGUCAAGAAUGCCUGGAAUGUUUAAGACAAACAUCCAUUCUGGUUGAGUUUUACUGAGUGGAUUUGAAAGAGAUGAACAUCUGGGAGCUAAGAGCAGCAUUGAACUGGAGUUUGUGGUCUGCUGGGUUUGAAUCUUGAGGUCCUGGUAGGAUGUCAGCCAAUAAAGAAAAUGUUAAUAGUCUUUUUUAAAACUAGCUGCACAGGUAGUGGAUGAAGGAUACAGCCCAAAGAGUUGGAAGCCUUUCUAAAACAGAGGAUACAAAAAAACCCCUAGGGAGCCAGAAAUGUAUUUCAGAAGCACAAGAAAGGUCAGAGAUCACAGGCCUGGUGUGUUCCACUCUGUACCAUACGAGUUGCAAAGAACAUAAACAUGGGAGAUGCUAGUAGAAGAAGGGAUUAU
rnacentral:lncRNA from 1 species